AUACAGGUGGUGCAUGGUUGUCGUCAGCUCGUGUCGUGAGAUGUUGGGUUAAGUCCCGCAACGAGCGCAACCCUCGUUCUGGUGUUGCCAGCAUUUAGUUGGGGACUCACAGGAGACUGCCGGGGUUAACUCGGAGGAAGGUGGGGAUGACGUCAAAUCAUCAUGCCCCUUAUGUCUUGGGCUGCACGCAUGCUACAAUGGCUGGUACAAACGGCUGCAAUACCGCAAGGUGGAGCGAAUCCGAGAAAGCCAGUCUCAGUUCGGAUUGGGGUCUGCAACUCGACCCCAUGAAGUCGGAGUUGCUAGUAAUCGUAGAUCAGCAACGCUACGGUGAAUACGUUCCCGGGGCUUGUACACACCGCCCGUCACAUCACGAAAGUCGGUAACACCCUAAAGUCAGUGGCCCAACCGCAAGGAGGGAGCUGCCAAAGGU
rnacentral:rRNA from 1 species